rnacentral:rRNA from 1 species
ACGCUGGCGGCGUGCCUAAUACAUGCAAGUCGAGCGCGUGAACCAACAUGAUCCCUUCGGGGUGAUUGUUGGGGAUCGAGCGGCGGACGGGUGAGUAACACGUGGGUAACUUACCUGCGAGAUCGGGAUAACCCCGGGAAACCGGGGCUAAUACCGAAUGAUCGUUGGAACCGCAUGGUUCCAACGUAAAAGGCGGCUUUUGCCGUCACUCGCAGAUGGACCCGCGGCGCAUUAGCUAGUUGGUAAGGUAAUGGCUUACCAAGGCAACGAUGCGUAGCCGACCUGAGAGGGUGAUCGGCCACACUGGGACUGAGACACGGCCCAGACUCCUACGGGAGGCAGCAGUAGGGAAUCUUCCGCAAUGGACGAAAGUCUGACGGAGCAACGCCGCGUGAACGAUGAAGGUCUUCGGAUCGUAAAGUUCUGUUGUUAGGGAAGAACAAGUACCAGAGGAAAUGCUGGUACCUUGACGGUACCUAACCAGAAAGCCACGGCUAACUACGUGCCAGCAGCCGCGGUAAUACGUAGGUGGCAAGCGUUGUCCGGAAUUAUUGGGCGUAAAGCGCGCGCAGGCGGUUCCUUAAGUCUGAUGUGAAAGCCCACAGCUCAACUGUGGAGGGCCAUUGGAAACUGGGGAACUUGAGUACAGAAGAGGAGAGCGGAAUUCCACGUGUAGCGGUGAAAUGCGUAGAUAUGUGGAGGAACACCAGUGGCGAAGGCG